GCAGUGGGGAAUUUUGGACAAUGGGGGAAAGCCUGAUCCAGCCAUGCCGCGUGAGUGAAGAAGGCCUUCGGGUUGUAAAGCUCUUUCGCUAGUGAAGAAAUCUUACUAUCUAAUAAAUAGUGAGGAUGACGGUAUCUUGASAAGAAGCACCGGCUAUCUAUGUGCCAGC
rnacentral:rRNA from 1 species